rnacentral:lncRNA from 1 species
UCCAUCAACCACCACCCUACCUACCGCAACAAUCAGUCCGGUGACAGUCAUUGAUAAUUUCACCUUCAAGUGCUCCAACAACAACCAGAGACCCGACAAGCCGUGGCCCACGAGGCGCUAUUGCCAGUUCUUCGCCUUGUGCUCGCCGGCCGGACAGUUCUUGGGUGAACUGCAGCUGUGUGACUCCUACUUCACGUGUCUCCUGCAAGAGGACGGGUCAUGGAAAGCUGAGUUGGAGAGCUGCCCUGUAAACGAACUCUUCAGUUACGAGGAAGACAAAUGUGUUCCUCGCCCAUCAGCCGAAUCGUUGUGUGGUUGAAUACAACAGUCACCCGUGUCUUGAAAUGAUGAAUCUCAGUCGCCGUUUUGUAGAGAUGCUCUCAGUCCAUCGCUUGCGGAAGAGGCUGAUAAAACAUUUGUCAUGAUUAUCUAUAUGUAUCUUUGCUGUUUACCAUAUUUGUAAUCAUCUUUUUCUUCGUAUUUUUUUCUACUUCACUCUUUAUUCAUCUGUCUAUUAAGAUAGAUGGUAAAGGAUGUGAUUAGAUUUUAAUGCAGAUCAUAUAUAUGCUGGUACAUAUUAAUCUGUAUCUGUUUUUGUUUACGUUAUUAUAUAUUUAUCUAUUUAUUGUAUGUAGGCAUACACAAUAAUAUACACAUGAAGACACACAUAUACACACACAGAGGUAAACACACACACACAGGUAAACACACACACACACACACACACACACACAUACACACAAAUAUUUCAAAUAUUUGUGUGCAUAUAUAUACAUGAAUAUGUAUGUUUGUGUUUGCGUGUGUAUGUAGUAUACACUUCCAAAUGAAACACAUGUGUUUUCUCAUCUCAAACCAACAAAAGAGUAACGUAUUUAAAAUAUAUCUACUGAAUUUGACUUUGUUUUAUAGGGAUUUACGGUUAUAUACUUACUCCGUCUAUGAAGAUGUAAUGGAUGUUAUUUAUUAUAUUUGCAAUGAAAAUGUUCUUGUACUCGUUGUUACCUGGUAUUUGUUGAAUAUUUAUUGUUCUCAA